ACAUUAAUCAGAAGCUUGAAAAUGACACAGUGCUAUGUGUAUGGCUCAUAAUGGCCUGGCUGUUACUACUAUCAUGGGUAAUUUCCCACGGGAAAUUCCUCAUUGAUUAACAAAUUUCAGUGCACUUAUAAUUAAUAACGAGAAUAGACCGGGAAUUCAUAAAUAACAUGGAAGUCAGUGAAGACUAUCAGGAAAAUGAACAGAAGACAUUGUCGUUGCUGAAAGAAAUUGCAACCAAGACGUGUCAUGCCAACCCGUACAAGAGGCCUAUGGCCGACACCAUCAUCUCAUUGUUGCUGACGGACGGCAGUGGACAGGAAACAACUCGCAAGGUCACAAGGCAGAAUGCCAAGGACGAAGAGACAAACAGACUUUGAUAAAAGAAAUAUACCUCAUUUUUAUAAUUUAAAGUAGAAUUUGCCAAAACAAUAUCAUUAGUACGGCAUGGUAGUCAUGGUAACUGUUGUUCAGUGUACAUUUUAGUGCAUACAAAGGCGAUACAGAUAAAAAAAAAAUCUAAGACGCUUUGUCAAAAUGAACAAACACGUAUUUUAAAUCUAUUUGAAUAAUUCACACAUCUAGACAAUUAAAAAAUAUAAGCAAC